GAUGAACGCUAGCGGCAGGCUUAACACAUGCAAGUCGAGGGGCAGCAUAAUGGAUAGCAAUAUCUAUGGUGGCGACCGGCGCACGGGUGCGUAACGCGUAUGCAACCUACCUUUAACAGGGGGAUAACACUGAGAAAUUGGUACUAAUACCCCAUAAUAUCAUAGAAGGCAUCUUUUAUGGUUGAAAAUUCCGAUGGUUAGAGAUGGGCAUGCGUUGUAUUAGCUAGUUGGUGGGGUAACGGCUCACCAAGGCAACGAUACAUAGGGGGACUGAGAGGUUAACCCCCCACACUGGUACUGAGACACGGACCAGACUCCUACGGGAGGCAGCAGUGAGGAAUAUUGGUCAAUGGACGCAAGUCUGAACCAGCCAUGCCGCGUGCAGGAUGACGGCUCUAUGAGUUGUAAACUGCUUUUGUACGAGGGUAAACGCAGAUACGUGUAUCUGUCUGAAAGUAUCGUACGAAUAAGGAUCGGCUAACUCCGUGCCAGCAGCCGCGGUAAUACGGAGGAUUCAAGCGUUAUCCGGAUUUAUUGGGUUUAAAGGGUGCGUAGGCGGUUUGAUAAGUUAGAGGUGAAAUUUCGGGGCUCAACCCUGAACGUGCCUCUAAUACUGUUGAGCUAGAGAGUAGUUGCGGUAGGCGGAAUGUAUGGUGUAGCGGUGAAAUGCUUAGAGAUCAUACAGAACACCGAUUGCGAAGGCAGCUUACCAAACUAUAUCUGACGUUGAGGCACGAAAGCGUGGGCA
rnacentral:rRNA from 1 species